rnacentral:rRNA from 1 species
GAUGAACGCUAGCGGCAGGCCUAAUACAUGCAAGCCGAACGGCAAGUUGAGUAGCAAUACUUGACCUAGAGUGGCGUAAGGGUGCGUAACACGUAUGCAAUCUGCCCUGUACAGGAGAAUAGCUCGGGGGAAACUCGAAUUAACACUCCAUAAUAUCACACGAAGGCAUCUGAGAGUGAUUAAAACUGAGGUGGUACAGGAUGAGCAUGCGCAUGAUUAGUUAGUUGGCGGGUAACGGCCCACCAAGACGAUGAUCAUUAGGGGAACUGAGAGGUUGAUCCCCCACACUGGCACUGAGAUACGGGCCAGACUCCUACGGGAGGCAGCAGUAGGGAAUAUUGGACAAUGGGUGCGAGCCUGAUCCAGCCAUGCCGCGUGCAGGAAG